rnacentral:rRNA from 1 species
GAUGAACGCUGGCGGCGUGCCUAAUACAUGCAAGUCGAGCGAACAGAUGAGGAGCUUGCUCCUCUGACGUUAGCGGCGGACGGGUGUGUAACACGUGGAUAACCCACCUAUAAGACUGGGAUAACUUCGGGAAACCGGAGCUAAUACCGGAUAAUAUAUUGAACCGCAUGGUUCAAUAGUGAAAGACGGUUUUGCUGUCACUUAUAGAUGGAUCCGCGCCGCAUUAGCUAGUUGGUAAGGUAACGGCUUACCAAGGCGACGAGGCGUAGCCGACCUGAGAGAGGGAUCGGCCACACUGGAGCUGGGACAGGGUCCAGACUCCUACGAGAGGCAGCAGUAGGCAAUCUUCCGCAAUGGGCGGAAGCCUGACAGAGCAAGGCCGCGUGAGUGAUGAAGGUCUUCGGAUCGUAAAACUCUGUUAUUGGGGAAGAACAGAUGUGUAAGUAACUAUGCACGUCUUGACGGUACCUAAUCAGGAAGCCACGGCUAACUACGUG